AGAGUUUGAUCCUGGCUCAGAUUGAACGCUGGCGGCAUGCCUUACACAUGCAAGUCGAACGGCAGCACGGGAGCAAUCCUGGUGGCGAGUGGCGAACGGGUGAGUAAUACAUCGGAACGUGCCCAGUUGUGGGGGAUAGCCCGGCGAAAGCCGGAUUAAUACCGCAUACGACCUACGGGUGAAAGCGGGGGAUCGCAAGACCUCGCGCUAUUGGAGCGGCCGAUGUCGGAUUAGCUAGUUGGUGGGGUAAAAGCCUACCAAGGCUACGAUCCGUAGCUGGUCUGAGAGGACGACCAGCCACACUGGGACUGAGACACGGCCCAGACUCCUACGGGAGGCAGCAGUGGGGAAUUUUGGACAAUGGGCGCAAGCCUGAUCCAGCCAUGCCGCGUGCGGGAAGAAGGCCUUCGGGUUGUAAACCGCUUUUGUCAGGGAAGAAACGGUCUUGGCUAAUACCUAGGACUAAUGACGGUACCUGAAGAAUAAGCACCGGCUAACUACGUGCCAGCAGCCGCGGUAAUACGUAGGGUGCAAGCGUUAAUCGGAAUUACUGGGCGUAAAGCGUGCGCAGGCGGCUUUGCAAGACAGAUGUGAAAUCCCCGGGCUCAACCUGGGAACUGCAUUUGUGACUGCAAGGCUGGAGUGCGGCAGAGGGGGAUGGAAUUCCGCGUGUAGCAGUGAAAUGCGUAGAUAUGCGGAGGAACACCGAUGGCGAAGGCAAUCCCCUGGGCCUGCACUGACGCUCAUGCACGAAAGCGUGGGGAGCAAACAGGAUUAGAUACCCCGGUAGUCC
rnacentral:rRNA from 1 species